GCCGGGUGUGGUGGCGCACGCCUGUAAUCCCAGCUACUUGGGAGGCUGAGGCAGGGGAAUCGCUUGAACCUGGGAGGCAGAGGUUGCAGUGAGCCGAGAUCACGCCACUGCACUCCAGCCUGGGCAACAGAGCGAGACUCCUUCUCAA
ensembl:misc_RNA Metazoa_SRP Metazoan signal recognition particle RNA